rnacentral:rRNA from 1 species
GACGAACGCUGGCGGCGUGCCUAAUACAUGCAAGUAGAACGCUGAAGGAGGAGCUUGCUUCUCUGGAUGAGUUGCGAACGGGUGAGUAACGCGUAGGUAACCUGCCUGGUAGUGGGGGAUAACUAUUGGAAACGAUAGCUAAUACCGCAUAAUAGCAGUUGUUGCAUGAUAACUGUUUGAAAGGUGCAAUUGCACCGCUACCAGAUGGACCUGCGUUGUAUUAGCUAGUUGGUGGGGUAACGGCUCACCAAGGCGACGAUACAUAGCCGACCUGAGAGGGUGAUCGGCCACACUGGGACUGAGACACGGCCCAGACUCCUACGGGAGGCAGCAGUAGGGAAUCUUCGGCAAUGGACGGAAGGCUGACCGAGCAACGCCGCGUGAGUGAAGAAGGUUUUCGGAUCGUAAAGCUCUGUUGUAAGAGAAGAACGAGUGUGAGAGUGGAAAGUUCACAUUGUGACGGUAUCUUACCAGAAAGGGACGGCUAACUACGUG